rnacentral:rRNA from 1 species
UGCGCAGGCGGAAUAUUAAGUCAGUGGUGAAAGCCUACAGCUCAACUGUAGAACUGCCAUUGAAACUGAUAUUCUUGAGUAUAGUUGUAGUGGGCGGAACAUAUCAUGUAGCGGUGAAAUGCUUAGAUAUGAUAUAGAACACCGAUCGCGAAGGCAGCUCACUAAACUAUAACUGACGCUCAGGCACGAAAGCGUGGGGGGCAAACAGGAUUAGAUACCCUGGUAGUCC